rnacentral:rRNA from 1 species
CCUACGGGUGGCAGCAGUGGGGAAUAUUGCACAAUGGGGGGAACCCUGAUGCAGCAACGCCGCGUGGGUGAAGGAGCGUUUCGGCGCGUAAAGCCCUAUCGGCAGGGAAGAAGGAGGACGGUACCUGACUAAGAAGCCCCGGCUAACUACGUGCCAGCAGCCGCGGUAAUACGUAGGGGGCAAGCGUUAUCCGGAUUUACUGGGUGUAAAGGGGGCGCAGACGGCGGGGUAAGCCUGAAGUGAAAGCCCGGGGCCCAACCCCGGGACUGCUGUGGGAACUGCGUGGCUGGAGUGUAGGAGGGGGAGGCGGAAUUCCUGGUGUAGCGGUGAAAUGCGUAGAUAUCAGGAGGAACACCGGUGGCGAAGGCGGCCUGCUGGAC